rnacentral:rRNA from 1 species
GAUGAACGCUAGCGGCAGGCUUAAUACAUGCAAGUCGAGGGGCAGCAUGAUUGUAGCAAUACAAUUGAUGGCGACCGGCAAACGGGUGCGGAACACGUACACAACCUUCCAAUAAGUGGGGAAUAGCCCAGAGAAAUUUGGAUUAAUACCCCGUAACAUAACGAUGUGGCAUCACAUUGUUAUUAUAGAUUUUUCGCUUAUUGAUGGGUGUGCGGCUGAUUAGAUAGUUGGCGGGGUAACGGCCCACAAAGUCUACGAUCAGUAGCUGAUGUGAGAGCAUGAUCGGCAACACGGGCACUGAGACACGGGCCCGACUCCUACGGGAGGCAGCAGUAAGGAAUAUUGGACAAUGGACGCAAGUCUGAUCCAGCCAUGCCGCGUGAAGGAUUAAGGUCCUCUGGAUUGUAAACUUCUUUUAUAAGGGACGAAAAAAGGCUUUUCUAAGUCGUCUGACGGUACCUUAUGAAUAAGCACCGGCUAACUCCGUGCCAGCCGCCGCCGUAACAC